rnacentral:rRNA from 1 species
AUGUCUAAGUACAAACUAUAUUAAAGUGAAACCGCGAAAGGCUCAUUAAAUCAGUUAUGGUUCCUUAGAUCGUACCACAAUUACUUGGAUAACUGUGGUAAUUCUAGAGCUAAUACAUGCAAACAGAGCUCUGACCGGAGACGGAAGGAGUGCUUUUAUUAGAUCAAAACCAAUCGGCGGCAGUAGCAUUUCGGUGUUAUUGUUCGUCGCUCAAUUAAUGGUGAAUCUGAAUAACUUUAUGCUGAUCGCAUGGUCUUGUACCGGCGACGCAUCUUUCAAAUGUCUGCCUUAUCAACUGUCGAUGGUAGGAUCUGCGCCUACCAUGGUUGUAACGGGUAACGGGGAAUCAGGGUUCGAUUCCGGAGAGGGAGCCUGAGAAACGGCUACCACAUCCAAGGAAGGCAGCAGGCGCGCAAAUUACCCACUCCCGGCACGGGGAGGUAGUGACGAAAAAUAACGAUACGGGACUCAUCCGAGGCCCCGUAAUCGGAAUGAGUACACUUUAAAUCCUUUAACGAGGACCAAUUGGAGGGCAAGUCUGGUGCCAGCAGCCGCGGUAAUUCCAGCUCCAAUAGCGUAUAUUAAAGUUGUUGCGGUUAAAAAGCUCGUAGUUGAAUUUGUGUUCCGCACUGUCGGUUCACCGCCCGCGGUGCUAACUGGCAUGUUUGCGGAACGUCCUGCCGGUGGAUGUUUAAAUGUAAGUGAUUUCGGUCAUUUACACAUCCGACUUAUGAAUCCUGUCGCGGUGCUCUUAACUGAGUGUCGAGGCGGGCCGGCACGUUUACUUUGAACAAAUUAGAGUGCUCAAAGCAGGCUAACUAAUGCCUGAAUAAUUAGUGCAUGGAAUAAUGGAACAGGACCUUGGUUCUAUUUUGUUGGUUUUCGGAACCCCAAGGUAAUGAUUAAUAGGGACAGAUGGGGGCAUUCGUAUUGCGACGUUAGAGGUGAAAUUCUUGGAUCGUCGCAAGA